GCCGGCGACGGUUCAUUCAAAUUUCUGCCCUAUCAACUUUCGAUGGUAAGGUAUUGGCUUACCAUGGUUUCAACGGGUAACGGGGAAUUAGGGUUCGAUUCCGGAGAGGGAGCCUGAGAAACGGCUACCACAUCCAAGGAAGGCAGCAGGCGCGCAAAUUACCCAAUCCCGACACGGGGAGGUAGUGACAAUAAAUACUGAUACAGGGCUCUUUUGGGUCUUGUAAUUGGAAUGAGUACAAUUUAAACCUCUUAACGAGGAACAAUUGGAGGGCAAGUCUGGUGCCAGCAGCCGCGGUAAUUCCAGCUCCAAUAGCGUAUAUUAAAGUUGUUGCAGUUAAAAAGCUCGUAGUUGAACCUUGGGUCUGGCUGGCAGGUCCGCCUCACCGCGUGUACUUGUCCGGCCGGGCCUUCCUUCUGGAGAACCUCAUGCCCUUUACUGGGCGUGUUGGGGACCAGGACUUUUACUUUGAAAAAAUUAGAGUGUUCAAAGCAGGCCUUUGCUCGAAUACGUUAGCAUGGAAUAAUAGAAUAGGACGUGCGGUCCUAUUUUGUUGGUUUCUAGGACCGCCGUAAUGAUUAAUAGGGACAGUCGGGGGCAUCAGUAUUCAAUUGUCAGAGGUGAAAUUCUUGGAUUUAUUGAAGACUAACUACUGCGAAAGCAUUUGCCAAGGAUGUUUUCAUUAAUCAGUGAACGAAAGUUAGGGGAUCGAAGACGAUCAGAUACCGUCGUAGUCUUAACCGUAAACUAUGCCGACUAGGGAUCGGGCGAUGUUCUUUUUCUGACUCGCUCGGCACCUUA
rnacentral:rRNA from 1 species